rnacentral:lncRNA from 1 species
GAAUGACCUAAACCCAUGACAAGAAUGUUAUUGGAAGUUAGUACAACUCUGGAGAAUACUUUUAUGAAAAGCCGCUGAUAGUUUGUAUACUGUUUUCUUUUGCUUGAUGAUCUGUAUUUAUUUUAAGAAUUUAAACUUUAUCCUCCAAUUUUGUGCAUAACCAUAACUAAACCAUUUUCAUUUUCCUACUUCUUUAACCAAUCCAAUAUACUACUCUGUGGCAUGUUAUACUCUAUAUCUCUCAUGUAGCAACUAGAGAGCCUUUGGUUACCUAACGUAUCUGCGUAAUCUUUCAAAUGAAAAUACAAAUGAACAAUGCAUGUAAGAUACUUUAAGAAAAAAGUCCAAGUAUAUAGACAGAUACAUAAAGCUAACAGUGGCUGGAUGUAGAGCUAUGCAGAAUUCAAUCAUUUUGGACCAUGGGAAGGUCCUCAACAAAUGGCAAUUUCAGCCAUUCUGAAACAAGUCUGAAGCAUACAACUCAAGCUCCACCCCCUAAUACUCAACCCUUCGGGAUAUCAGUUUCCUUUCUUCUGCCUGUGUAAGAAAAUUAGAAAAUUGUCAACAAGAAAAUAUCUCUGCAUAAAAGAACUUAAGCUUGAUGAAAUCAGAGAAACGGAAUUUGUAUUGGAGGAUAAGGUUUCAUCUUAGGCUUGCUAUUGGUUUUUGCUUGUAAACACACGCUCCUAAUUUCUCGAGUCCAGUGACUAAUUUUUUUAAUAUGCACUGAUCCUUCAUUCAUGAUUUGAGGUGAGUCUACUAUACAAAACCAGUGCUUCUUUUAAGAAAAGUGUUCCAUAUCUGUCAUAAGUAAAUAAUUUGAUGAAUGGCACAGAGUCACUUACCCAUUGCUUAAUACUACUAAUUUGUCUAUUUUUUAUUUCAAUCUGCAUCAUCCAGUAGCUGUAAAUAUCAACUCUGGCAUAAAUGAAUCCCUCAGCACUGCACUCUACUCUGGAAAUAGAUGUAAUUAUCAUCUUUAAAACUUAUAUAAACAUAAUUUUAUAUGAAAA